rnacentral:rRNA from 1 species
GAUGAACGCUAGCGGCAGGCUUAAUACAUGCAAGUCGAACGGGAAUUGGGUAGCAAUACCUGAUGAUAGUGGCGCACGGGUGCGUAACGCGUAUGCAACCUACCUUUAACAGGGGGAUAGCCCGGAGAAAUUCGGAUUAAUACCCCAUAGUAUUAUGGAGAGGCAUCUUUUCAUGAUUAAAGUUCCGGCGGUUAAAGAUGGGCAUGCGUGCCAUUAGCUAGUUGGUGAGGUAACGGCUCACCAAGGCGACGAUGGUUAGGGGUCCUGAGAGGGUUAUCCCCCACACUGGUACUGAGACACGGACCAGACUCCUACGGGAGGCAGCAGUAAGGAAUAUUGGUCAAUGGGCGGAAGCCUGAACCAGCCAUGCCGCGUGCAGGAAGACGGCCUUAUGGGUUGUAAACUGCUUUUUGUCAGGGAAUAAACCCUCGUUUGCGAACGAGGCUGAAGGUACCUGAAGAAUAAGCAUCGGCUAACUCCGUGCCAGCAGCCGCGGUAAAACGUG